AAUACUUGAAAGCUUCAUUUCUCUGUUUUUGGGGAAUUAUGUUUUGAUUUCUGUUUUCCAUAGACAGUAACAGACAAUCACCUCCCUUAAUCAUUCAUGACCUUCCCUCACUGUUUUUAUUUUGGCUCCAAAGACUUUCACUUCCUCCAAAAAUACCCUCCAGACCAUACAGCAUUUUUCUCAGUAGCACUUAAACCAAUACAGUCUUUUGUUAAACUACAUUCUUACAUUUUAUGAAACACUUUCAGGAGCAGUUUAUCAUUUGAUCCUCUCCUAAACCCUGUGAAAUAGUUAUUGUUCUCCUCUCCAUCUUACAGAUGAGGAAACUGAACUUCAGAGAGUUCCUGAAGGUCACACAAGGUGGGAUUAGUGCCCAGGGCUUCUGUCUGCAGAGCCUGUUGUCUUUAAUUUUUCUUUUCUUCCCUCCCUCCCUCCCUCCCUCCUUCCUUCCUUCCUUCCUUCUUCCCUUCCUCUCUUUCUUUCAUAAUAAUUUAGUACCAAUAAUAUGGCAAAUAUGUCCCUGCCUCUAGAGGCUUAGUGGUUCAUGGAAAUCCAGUGGGAUGUGUGAGGCCUUCUGGGAGGGUUAGUGCAUUGGGCUUGGUUGAGGAGGCCAUAGCUAACUGUGAUUGUGCCUGAGAGUAUCACACUUGAUGUGCUGCAGAAUAUUCAUGCUACCUUGAUUACUCGCUCAUGCAUUCCACUAGGCCUGUUUUUUUCCCAGGUGAAAACCAAGCCGAUGGCUACAGAACCUAGUGGGAGAGACUCUUUUGCCCUUCUAUUUGACUCAACUGGCAAUGUCUUAACCACAAUAUCGUGCUGAUGUUAAAAGACAUACUAUGCUUCCAUUUUUCUUUGCCUUUCCUUUGAGCUUAGUUUCAGUGACUACUGAUUUUAUUUCUCACUAGAAGGACAACUCGGUUGGCCUCCUUUAUGUUCUAGCCAGGGGUCA
rnacentral:lncRNA from 1 species